AUUAGAGCGAGCAAGCAUGAUCGAUGUUUGUUCGAUUUUUAUUUUUAGGCCUGUUUUUGUUUUGUUUUGAUUUUAUUUUGUCAUUUUUUGCUUUAUGUCGAGGGAGGAGAGGGUUUGAUUUUAUUUGGUGUAGUUUUGUUUUGAUGGUUUUUUGUUGCAAUCAUUAUUGUUGUUGGUGCAGUUUUGCAUGACUGAAUUGGCAAAUGAGUCUCGCUUGUGCAUGCAUAGUUGUUGCAUUGAAGGAGGAUUUGAAAAGUGUGUUUAUGUUCGCGAUGCGUACGAGUGCCAUUGUAAAAAUAUAUAACUAACUAAAUAGAUAUAAUGAGUUGCAGACAGUGGGCGCAGACAGAUUUCUUCUCAUCAUAAUAACUCAAAAUUAAAUUAGUCAUACUUUUAUACUUUCCAUAGACAUUGUGAGUUUCAAAUAUUACAGCGACAACUAGCGAAUACGCCAAAUUCAAACCACACUUGUCGAGUUGGUUGACAACAAUAUAUGCAGACAUCGGAAUAACCCCAGGGAGAAUAUCGAUAAUGUGUACCCUAGCAUACAUAACAAUACUACGGAACUCACGGAACUGAAAAGAACGAAAUUUCCAGUCUAGCGAAACCUCAGCACGCUGUUUUCUCUGUUGGCUAAGAAGAUAUUCAUUAUUCCACCAAAAUUAUUCGCUCCAGCAUUUGCUGUUAUCACAAUCAAAAUGUACGUAGCACUCGUGCUACUAGAUAUUCGUAUGCCACCGAACAGCUGAAGCAUGAGUUUCUACUCACGUCCACGGUAAAUUCCAUAGACAUCCUUGGACCCGAUGUGUGGUUUGGCCUUGUAUUUAAAUUAAAACAAGUAAUCUGAGUUCAGUAUUUGAAAAGUAAAAAUGUAUGGCUUCGUAUUGGAACACAUUGUUACUGGCCGUUGAACUUUUGGUCCUCCCAAGCCCCAAUAGUCUAUUAAAAUUCGUUGCCGUCUAAGCCGCUACUACGGCACUGCUACUAAAAUAAGAAAAACUAAUAUGCAAACGAAAAUAUAAAAUGACAAAAGUCAAUUGA